rnacentral:lncRNA from 10 species
UACUUUGAUCCACUUUACAUCAUUUUUAUGUUGUUGAGGUAGGGAAAUUAGGGUUCAGUUUAUCACUGGACAUUCAGGAGGCAAGUCAAUCUUUUUUAUUUCCUUAUAAAAUUAACUCUUCAAAAACUGUUAAACAGAGAGUUAUCUUAAUUUUUAUUGCAGUAGGAGGAAAUAUAUUUAAAAUAUUUGUAGAUUUAUAGCAAAUAGAGACUCGUUAUUUAAAGGUUAAAUAACAGUUUGUUCUUUUGUUGUUUUUGCCAGUUUAGGGCAGUAGCUGCUUUUGUCAUAAAUAUCUUCCUACCACAUCAAAAAUGCUGCUUUUAAAAUUUUUGUUUAUAAAUUGAGAAGGAAUUUUCUCUCUAUAAGUUUCUGUCGUUGAACACAUCACCAUCAAAAAGAAUAUUAGAAUCCAGCAUGAAGAUAAUGUCUAAUAAAAAUGAGGUACAUACUUUAUAAAACCAUUAAUCAGAUUUGAAUGAGGAAUGCUUUCCACAUCCUUGAAAGAAAAACUGUGGCUUACGUUUUGAAGUAUUCUGAGAAUGAAUAUUAAGAUCCAAUUUCUAUAAGCAAGAUCAGACUUAUUAAGUAUGCUGCAAGUAAGAGCUAAUUCAUUCAUUCUAUGUGUGCCACUAAAUAAAGAGAUUGAGCAAUCUCUGACUGUCUGAUGCUCUUCCUUGACAGAUUUGGUUCUGCGGUUGGGAUGGGUGGAGUCAGUGGGAAAAUGCCAGAAACUGUGUCCUAAGGCAGUGAGUGCCAGGUCAGGGCCAGUGUAAACAAUAUAAAAGCAGGUCAGAGAUCCAAAUAAGAUUGGAUGAAUCUAGGAAGCUAAGGCAUGAAGCCAACUGGGUUGGUGUCUGUGUUUUUGAAGAGGCUGGUGGAAAGGAAAUCUUAGACUUAAUCUCAGGUCCAUGAGAGACAUCUGUGGCAGUUUUUUAUUCACUUUAAGAUGCUCACAGUGUCAUAGUCCCUGGGAUACAAAGAUGAAUAGGAGCUCAUGGUUUUGUGGGAAAACAGAUAGGCAGCUAUUAUUGAUAAGAAUUUCUUUCCUUCUCUGGCCCCAACCCAUUCCUUUGUUUUCUCUCUCUCCCAGAUAAUUUCUGCCCCUUUGUUUUUGGUCUGUCCUCAGGAACAAUACAAAAGAAAUAUCAUCUUUCUAUACCAAAGCUCCUCAAAUAUUUGAUGUAUACUAUCAUAGCUAUCUUGACUAACCCACAUACAACCCAGAUUCUUAAAUUACUUCUUAUAUUAACAUGGUAAAUUAUUCUCUAACUUGACCAUGUUAACUGGAAAUACUCCAGAGUGUUAAUAAUUUUAAAAUGUAGAUUCCAGAAAAGGAAUGACUUUCCUGAUCUAUAGUAUUAAUUCUAGAGAACUUGAGAUAUUUGUACCAUUUAUUAGGCUCACACACUGUAGAAUUUAUAUAAUUUUUUUUUAAUCAAGGAGGAAGGAGGGAGAGUUUCCACAAUUUCCUCUGUUUCUGUGGUUUUGCAUGUAAACUAGAUGAUUAGUUCCUGAUAAGCAGGGACUCUGAGCUGCAAAUCUCUAUGUCCUUCAAAGAAGGCUCUGGACCUAAUAGGCCUGCCAUCAUUUGAUUUUGAAAAAUCAAUCUCAGAUAAUGAACAUUGCUGACUCUAGUGUUCACUUUUCUGCUCUUACAUUAUUU